rnacentral:lncRNA from 1 species
AAAACAACUCAUUAAUAUGUUUCAUAUCCAUUACAUGCUGACAUAACUUACAUGUAUUUUUUACAUCAUUCUUAUCACUACAGUAAAUUAAAUAACUUCACGAAUCUAUUAAGAAUGACAACCAAAGAAGGCACAACCCGUUUUGGAAGCCAGUGCUUUAAACUGAGUCUGGCCAGUUAACAUGCAGUGAAGAAGUCGGAGGACGCUUGGCUGCCACCUGGUGGGACAAGGAGAGAGAGGAAAAGGCCAGAUAGAAAUUUCUGGCCAAAUUGUCUUCAAAAAACCAUGGGUCUCCUGUAGAGGCAGUUGCGUGGGGCCUGUGAUCCAGCUCGCCACACUCACCACCCCCCUCUUCACUCUCCGCCCCCCCAAUUCUUCACCACUGGAAAAAAAUGGACUCAAAGCUGCAGUUCAUACAAUUGAAGAUUUAUGUAAGUUACUUAAGUUACUUAUUUUUAAACUGCACAAUGCUGAAGCCAGUCUAAAAAAGAAUCAAACACACCACUGCAAGUUAAUUCAAUGAGUUACUUUUUUUUUUUUUUAAACAGAUUUGUACAGCAAAAAGUUCCCAGAUCACAGUCUCCACCAUACAGUCACCUGUCCAGUGUGCAGGAAGCCACAGGGGCCCUGGCCAGAGGGGCCAAGAGCAGAAGCUGCACUGCAGAGUUUACUUCUACCUACAGGUGACAUGUGGCUGGAAAAAUCUUGAGUUCCCUUUGUUCUCCAGUGUAUCUUGUACAAAAUAUUACAUUUGUUUAAACACAUAUUUACAGAGUUUGCACAAAUAGAAAAUGAUUACAAAUUACAACCAGGCUUGGCAGGAUACCAGUUCCCCUCCCCACUGACCAAGGUCAGAUGUGAUGACCAUUUCAUAUUUACAGUUGCAAUUUAAAAAGUCUGUGUUUAGAGACCUAAAUGAAGUUUAUAAAAACUGGUUAAAUAUCAUCAAUUCAUUUAUGUAAGCUGUACAAGUAGUGGAUACCAAUUAGUCAGUUCAUGUCUUGCUCCCUGAAGAAAGAUUUUGAAGUAAAAGAAACCCUCUCAAGCAAGCAACAUACAUCCCUGGCCUGUCUGCCAGUUUGUUUGGUUUUUGCCGGGGAAGGAGAUAGAAGGAUGAAGAGGGGAAUGGAACAGGGGGAAUAGGACAAUCUGGUUGAA